UGCUGAAGACAAGUCAAUUAGGGC
rnacentral:snRNA from 1 species